GAUGAACGCUGACAGAAUGCUUAACACAUGCAAGUCUUUGGCGAAGCUGUGCUUGCACAGCCUAGCCAAGGCGGACGGGUGAGUAACGCGUAAGGAACUUGCCCUGCAGUCAGGGAUAACAGACGGAAACGACUGAUAAGACCUGGUAAAGUCAGGCGGACUCAUGUCCAGCCUGAUGAAAAGAGAUGCUGCAGGAGAGCCUUGCGUUCUAUUAGCUUGUUGGUGGGGUAACGGCCCACCAAGGCGAUGAUAGGUAGCCGGCCUGAGAGGGUGGACGGCCACAAGGGGACUGAGAUACGGCCCUUACUCCUACGGGAGGCAGCAGUGGGGAAUAUUGGACAAUGGGGGCAACCCUGAUCCAGCAAUUCUGUGUGCACGAUGAAGGUUUUCGGAUUGUAAAGUGCUUUCAGCAGGGAAGAAAAAAUGACGGUACCUGCAGAAGAAGCGACGGCUAAAUACGU
rnacentral:rRNA from 1 species